rnacentral:rRNA from 1 species
UACACAUGCAAGUCGAGCGGUAGAGAGAAGCUUGCUUCUCUUGAGAGCGGCGGACGGGUGAGUAAUGCCUAGGAAUCUGCCUGGUAGUGGGGGAUAACGUUCGGAAACGGACGCUAAUACCGCAUACGUCCUACGGGAGAAAGCAGGGGACCUUCGGGCCUUGCGCUAUCAGAUGAGCCUAGGUCGGAUUAGCUAGUUGGUGGGGUAAUGGCUCACCAAGGCGACGAUCCGUAACUGGUCUGAGAGGAUGAUCAGUCACACUGGAACUGAGACACGGUCCAGACUCCUACGGGAGGCAGCAGUGGGGAAUAUUGGACAAUGGGCGAAAGCCUGAUCCAGCCAUGCCGCGUGUGUGAAGAAGGUCUUCGGAUUGUAAAGCACUUUAAGUUGGGAGGAAGGGUUGUAGAUUAAUACUCUGCAAUUUUGACGUUACCGACAGAAUAAGCACCGGCUAACUCUGUGCCAGCAGCCGCGGUAAUACAGAGGGUGCAAGCGUUAAUCGGAAUUACUGGGCGUAAAGCGCGCGUAGGUGGUUUGUUAAGUUGGAUGUGAAAUCCCCGGGCUCAACCUGGGAACUGCAUUCAAAACUGACUGACUAGAGUAUGGUAGAGGGUGGUGGAAUUUCCUGUGUAGCGGUGAAAUGCGUAGAUAUAGGAAGGAACACCAGUGGCGAAGGCGACCACCUGGACUAAUACUGACACUGAGGUGCGAAAGCGUGGGGAGCAAACAGGAUUAGAUACCCUGGUAGUCCACGCCGUAAACGA